UACGGAGGGGGCUAGCGUUGUUCGGAAUUACUGGGCGUAAAGCGCGCGUAGGCGGACCUGCAAGUCGGGGGUGAAAGCCCGAGGCUCAACCUCGGAACUGCCUUCGAUACUGCGGGUCUCGAGUCCGGGAGAGGUGAGUGGAAUUCCUAGUGUAGAGGUGAAAUUCGAUAGAUAUUAGGAAGAACACCAGUGGCGAAGGCGGC
rnacentral:rRNA from 1 species